rnacentral:rRNA from 1 species
ACUGCUUUUACCAGGGAAUAAACCCUUCUACGUGUAGGAGGCUGAAUAUACCUGAGGAAUAAGGAUCGGCUAACUCCGUGCCAGCAGCCGCGGUAAUACGGAGGAUCCAAGCGUUAUCCGGAUUUAUUGGGUUUAAAGGGUGCGUAGGCGGCUUGUUAAGUCAGGGGUGAAAGACGGUGGCUCAACCAUCGCAGUGCCCUUGAUACUGGCGAGCUUGAAUGUACUUGAGGUAGGCGGAAUGUGACAAGUAGCGGUGAAAUGCAUAGAUAUGUCACAGAACACCGAUUGCGAAGGCAGCUUACUAAAGUAUGAUUGACGCUGAGGCACGAAAGCGUGGGAUCAAACAGGAUUAGAUACCCUGGUAGUCCACGCCCUAAACGAUGAAUACUCGAUGUUGGCGAUAUACAGUCAGCGUCCAAGCGAAAGCGUUAAGUAUUCCACCUGGGGAGUACGGCCGCAAGGUUGAAACUCAAAGGAAUUGACGGGGGCCCGCACAAGCGGAGGAGCAUGUGGUUUAAUUCGAUGAUACGCGAGGAACCUUACCCGGGCUUGAAAGUUAGUGAAUUAUCCAGAGAUGGAUAAGUCCUUCGGGACACGAAACUAGGUGCUGCAUGGCUGUC